rnacentral:misc_RNA from 1 species
UCCUCGUUGACCGAGGCAGUCUCGCGUGAAAAAUACAACACACGACAAGGGUUGCGCUCGUUGCGGGACUUAACCCAACAUCUCACGACACGAGCUGACGACGACCAUGCAGCACCUGUCUAGCACCCUCGAAGGCUUCCCCGGUUUCCCGGGGCGCGCAGCUAGAUGUCAAGCCCUGGUAAGGUUCUUCGCUUAGCGUCGAAUUAAACCACACGCUCCACCGCUUGUGCGGGUCCCCGUCAAUUCCUUUGAGUUUUAAGCUUGCGCUCGUACUCCCCAGGCGGGGUGCUUAACGCGUUAGCUUCGACACCCAGGGGGUCUAAUCCCCGAAUGCCUAGCACCCAUCGUUUACGGCGUGGACUAC